rnacentral:rRNA from 1 species
UGUCAUGGUUGUCGUCAGCUCGUGUCGUGAGAUGUUGGGUUAAGUCCCGCAACGAGCGCAACCCUCGACCUUAGUUGCCAGCAUUCAGUUGGGCACUCUAAGGUGACUGCCGGCUAAAAGUCGGAGGAAGGUGGGGAUGACGUCAAAUCAUCAUGCCCCUUAUGACCUGGGCUACACACGUGCUACAAUGGGCGGUACAAAGGGUCGCGAACCCGCGAGGGGGAGCCAAUCCCAAAAAGCCGCUCUCAGUUCGGAUUGCAGGCUGCAACUCGCCUGCAUGAAGCCGGAAUCGCUAGUAAUCGCGGAUCAGCAUGCCGCGGUGAAUACGUUCCCGGGCCUU